CUCGUGCCAACUGUCAAAAUGUUUUGAAAAACAAAAUGCUCUUAUUUCGAUGCAUUUCAAGAGUUUUGUUGUGAUAAGAACACUGGAAUAUAGACUGAAACACUAUCCAACCAUUAGACUUAUGAUCUUGACAUGGAUCCAAGAUGCUGGUAACUAGGCGGGACGGAUUGGUAGAAAGAACUGCAGGUUUCUGUAUGGAGACUCAGCGCCAUGUCACAAAUACUUCAGAACCUAGAAUGAAAGUUACCGAAAGAGCAAUAGACUUUCCAAUCUCUACAAAAUUCAUCUUAGCUGUUUUUCAAGGUGAUACUUGAGACUACCAAAGACUUCAAGGACAGAAUUCACAAAACAGUUUAUGCCACCAUCUCAUAUCAAAGGAUUGUGCUUGAGUUGAACAGCCUUCAAACAGAAACUGCUUCAACACCUUCAAUGGAUUCAUUCUGAUUCAGUUUACCCUUGCUGUGAUCUGAGCAACUAUUUACAUCAAUUCAACAUUGUAAAUUGUUUAAACUUGAAAAUUCUGUCUUCGUGCAACUCACAUGAAUCUAUUUACUGUGGACUUUGAUGUUGACUCUAUACAGGAAGAAGAGACAAUCUUUAUACAUGCUGGCAUAUCUUUUAAAAAGGAAACAAAUAUUAUAACCAACAUACUACACUGUUAUGUCAUCCAAGGACUCAGCUACUGACUCAAUUUAUAAAUACUUCAAAGGAAAAAUGUCUCUGUCAAUGUAAUUAGUGCUGUGCAUAAUAAGACAUUUUUAGCUUGACUAUUCGAAGAAUAGGUGGGCUAUACUACUCGCCCCAGCGUCGGCGUCGGCGUGCGGUUAAAGUUUUAGGGCAAGUUGGGAUUUUCAUUUAUAAGUCCAAUACCCUACAUUCAAUUGACUUAAUACUUCACACAGUUGUUCAGGGCCAUCACAUGAUGAGGUUAGAUAACUCCAUAUUAUUCUUUACACAGAUUAUGGCCCCUGAUUGACUAUGGAACUUGGGUUAAAGUUUUAGGGCAAGUUGGAAUAUUUAUUAAUAACUUCUAUAUAUAUCCUUUGUUCAAUUGACUUAAUACUUCACACAGUUGUUCAGGACCAUCCCACAAUGAGGUUACAUAACUCCAUAUUAUCCUAAAUACAAGUUAUGUCCCUUGAUUGACUUAGGUUAAAGUUUUAGGGCAGGUUAAAGUUUUAGGGCAAGUUGGGAUUUUCACUUAAAACUCCAAUACCAUUCAUUCAAUUGACUUAAUACUUCACACAGAUGUUCAGAGCCAUCACAUAAUGAGGUUAGAUAACUCCAUAUUAUCUUUUAUACAAAUUAUGGCCCCUGAUUGACUAUGGAACUUAGGUUAAAGUUUUAGGGCAGGUUGGGAUAUUGUUUAAUAACUUCUAUACCCUUCAUUCAAUUGACUUAAUACUUCACACAAUUGUUCAGGACCAUCACCCAAUGAGGUUACAUAACUCCAUAGCCUUAAUACAAGUUAUGGCCCCUGAUUGACUUAGGUUAAAGUUUUAAGCAAGUAAAAGUUAAGGGCAAGUUGGGAUUUUAAUAAAAAAAAACGUCUAUACCGUUCAUUAAAUGCACUUAAUAAAAUUCAAAAUUAUUUACGACCAUCUUACAACAAGAAACAUAACUCCGUUUUAAGCCUAAAUACAAGUUAUGGCCCUUGAUUUUUUUUUUUAAAUUUCCGUUGAAAGGCAUAUUUGUAUAUUCUUAAUCACAUUUUCAUAAUGGGAAAUCAAGUUAUUUGAAUGACUUGCGUCAUUGUUUGGGCGGGCUGGUGGGAGGGCAGCAUCAAAGUCACCUUAUGUAUCAAAUAAUUUUAGUUAGGUUUGACAUAAAGAGACCAAACUUGGUAUUAUUACAUCGUUAUUGUAUUCUAAGUCAAAGCGGCGUAGUCGAGCGCGCUGUCUUACGACGGCUUUUACGAGGGUAUAUUGCUUUGCACAUGUCGGUCGGUCGGUACCGUCUACCGUCUGUAGACCAAAGCUUGUCCGAGUGAUAACUCAACAAUUCCUGGACGUAUGGUCAUCAAACUUGACAUGAAGGAUGGGCCUGACCAGUAGAUGAUUUUAGGGGUCAAAGGUCAAGGUCACAGUGACCUUGAAUGGUAUAUUAAUUUUAAAGCUUGUCUGAGUGAUAACUCAACAAUGCCUAGACCUUUCGUCAUCAAACUUGAUAUGGAAGUUGGGCCUCACCAGUAGAUGACCCCUAUUGGUUUUGGGGAUCAUCGAGCCAAAGAUCAAGGUCACAGUGACCUUGAAUGGUAAAAGGUUGUCCAAGUGAUAAAUCAACAAUGCCUGUCCCCAUGGCCCUCAAACUUGGCUCGGAGGUUGGGCCUUACCAGUAGUUGACCUCUAUUGAUUUUAGGGGUCAAGGUCAAAGUGAUCUUGAAAGCAAACUCGACAAUUCCUGGACCAAUCAUGCCAUUCAGUCUGAAUGGUCAUCAAACUUGACAUAAAGGUUGGGCCUGACCAGUAGAUGACCCCUCUUGACUUUGAGGGUCAUCAAGCCAAGGUCAAGGUCACAAUAACCUUUAAUGCAAAAAAGAUAACAAAUCCUCUCUCAGGGAUAUCUCAACAAUGCCUGAACCUAUGAUCAUCAAACUUGACAUGGAUGUUGGUCCUGACAAGGAGAUGACGCUUAUUGAUUUUAGGAGUCAUUGGGUCAAAGGUCAAGUUCACAGUGACCUUGAAUGUGAAAAUAUUUCGAGUGAUAAAUUGACAAUGCCUGUACCCAUGGCCCUCAAACCUGACUUGAAGUUGUGUCUGGCCUGUAGAUGAGUCCCUUUCAUUUUAGGGGUCAUCGGGUCAAACGUCAAGUUCACAGUGACAUUGAUUGAAAAAAGCUUGUCUGUGUGAUAACAUGUCAAUGCUUGAACCCAUGUCCCUCAAACUUGGCAUUUAGAUUUUUGAAGACCAGCUGAUGACUCGUAUGGAUUUUGAGGUCAAAGGUCAUGGUCAUAACACACUCUAUCCUCACACUUUGAAUGGUCAUAAUCUUAAAACUGCCUCAACGGCAUCCAAUGUCAGUGACUAAUCAGCUGUCAUUUCGGUCCAUGCUUAUUUCAUUCAAUUGUUCAUAUAAUCCUGACAACAUGGCGCUCAGGUGGGGGCAUAAUGUUUGACAAACAUCUCUUGUUGAUACUUGGCUCAUUUCUCACAUGUAGCUGUAACAUUUUGGGCAACUUCUCAAUUAUUUUGUUUAAGACAUUUUUCAUCCAGCUCAUCUAAGCCUAAGUUAGUGUUCAUGUUAACUUUUAUGACUGCCUGUUUAUUGUACUUGUUAUAAAUUAUUUUUAAUGACUUUUUCUCAAGAACCAUUUGGCUAAGUAUGUCUCCUCCUGAAAUAGACUAAUUCUUUUAGCUCCAUUUGUCUGUCUGUCUGUCUGUAACAAAUUGUGUCUGCUCCAUGUCCUUUUAACCUUUUGAAGGAUUUGAUAUAAUUUCCCACAAAUGUACACCAUAUUGAGAGUAAGGGUUUAUUAUCAUAACUGUUGAGUAGUUUCUGAACUUGACUGUAUUAUAUCUUGCAUUUACCUCAAGCUGUUAAGUGAACAAUAUAACAUUGACCAAUACAAGGAACUAAACCUUCUAGGUCACCAUUUUGGAAUAAAGUAAUACUUAAAGCUCAUAUUUCCAUAAGAAUCUGCUCAUAUACAGUUUAAAUAGCUUAUACAAGAAUAUCAUUUCAACAUAACAUCAGAUCCUCCACUGUUUUAUGUUUGCAACAUAUUUUUUUAAACUUUGAUUUAUAUAUCAUGACUUUUAUGAACAAAUACCAAACAGCAACUCACAGAUCUAUACUCAUUUGGGCAGAAUUUUGUAAAUCUAAGCAUUGUCAUUUGAUAUUCAAUGCUUUUUGGCAAAUUGGAGCAUUUUCUGUCACAUUAAAAUCAAUAUUAACAAUAAAGCUCCAACUUCAAUAUUCUCACUAUAUUUUUGUGCCCAUUCUUUGCCAAUUAUUUGUUUGUCUAUUGGUAUACAUGUAUGUUUAUUCAUACUGUUUUUCAAAAUAACAAAUUAAUAAAAUGUU